UACAGAGGGUGCGAGCGUUAAUCGGAAUUACUGGGCGUAAAGAGCGCGCAGGCGGUCGUGCAAGUCGCGUGUGAAAUCUCCGGGCUUAACUCGGAACGGCCAAGUGAAACUGUCAAGCUAGAGUGCAGAAGGGGCAAUCGGAAUUCUUGGUGUAGCGGUGAAAUGCGUAGAUAUCAAGAGGAACACCUGAGGUGAAGACGGGUUGCUGGGCUGACACUGACGCUGAGGCGCGAAAGCCAGGGGAGCAAACGGG
rnacentral:rRNA from 1 species